rnacentral:rRNA from 2 species
UACGUAGGUGGCAAGCGUUGUCCGGAAUCAUUGGGCGUAAAGCGCGCGCAGGCGGUCCCUUAAGUCUGAUGUGAAAGCCCACGGCUCAACCGUGGAGGGUCAUUGGAAACUGGGGGACUUGAGUGCAGAAGAGGAAAGCGGAAUUCCAAGUGUAGCGGUGAAAUGCGUAGAGAUUUGGAGGAACACCAGUGGCGAAGGCGGCUUUCUGGUCUGUAACUGACGCUGAGGCGCGAAAGCGUGGGGAGCAAACAGG